rnacentral:rRNA from 1 species
UACGUAGGGGGCGAGCGUUAUCCGGAUUUACUGGGCGUAAAGCGCGUUAAGGCGGUUGGCAAAGUUGGUGGUGAAAUCGCAGGGCUUAACCCUGCAAUUGCCUCCAAUACUGGUCGACUAGAGUGUGAGAGAGGAAGGUGGAAUUCCCGGUGUAGUAGUGAAAUGCGUAGAUAUCGGGAGGAACACCAGUGGCGAAGGCGGCCUUCUGGCUCACAACUGACGCUGUAGCGCGAAAGCGUGGGGAGCGAACGGG